UGUUGCUGGAUGCUAGAAUGUCGGGAAAAAAAGUGAAAGCACAUCUCAUCAUGGGGUAAAUUGUCUGUCGAAAAUAAAUGUACUUAGUUUCUGAUUUGAAUGCUGCUUUCUGUGAAAAUAGGCUGGAUUGUUAUCAUUGUCUGUGAGGGCUAAUCUAUCCUGAGCGGAAAAAAAAAAAACAUGUGCAGCUGAACAAAAGGCACAGUGCAGAAUGCAGAUUGCCUGGCUUAAGAGCUAGAAAAUGCAGAAUUGUUGGGAUGAAGGACCUGGAUGAAAGCACCACGUUUGGGGGCAAACUGCAGUCUCAUCUGAACAUCAAAGGAGUAAAGUGCUAAAAUGUUUUAAAAGUGCCAGAAGCUGGAUUGGGAUCAUCCCCUGUGCGAUUUCGCCAACAGCACAACAAUUGACACAGUCAAACACAGCUGUGCAUGCCUCCCUCAGUCACUGCAUAACGUGGGUGGUAAUUAAGCCACAGCUUCAAGGUUGCAUAGGCACAAGACAAUUCACCCUAAUGAAGUAUCGAUUGGUUGUGGCCGAGGUAAAAGAAGUUGACAUUCAUUUAGAGGAAGUCUGGGCAAACACAACAUUGUCCAGCUGCACAACAAAGGCAGUAUCACCAAAUUUUAACCUUGGGAAAACAAUUUUGAAUCUUAUUUAUGAUGAUAUUUGCAUUUAAAAAAAAAAUUAUAACUAAUUAUGUCAUUACUGUUCUGACAUCAGAAUCUUAAAUCAGUGGAAUUAAUGUUUAUUGGCAGAUGCUACAAAAGCAAAUGAAGUUUCAGCAUGUCAAUUACCGUAAUAAUCUCCUGAUCGCAUGCUACUGAAUUGUUGGUAGGACUGAGUGCAGCAAAUUAAGUGGCAUCUUGGAAUAAUUUUAUGGUUGUUGACAUUGAGCUGUUAAUCUUAAUGUAUCGUAUAAAACUGCUGGGGUAAUGCAGGAGACAAAAUUAUGAUUUUAAGUGGAAAGGUUAGAAUAUGGAACCUAAGCAGCUGUCAUUAUGCUGUAAAGAUAUCACUGUAAAUGUUCUUUUAUAUGCUAGAAAUUCUAUAUCCCUCAGAGAAACAAACUUACCAGACCAUUAGUUCUCAUCAUACUUAUUUUACUGAUCAUAUUGGUUCUGGGGCAUUCCAAGUGGAAUUUCUAAUAUAAACACAAAAAUGGUCUAUGAAUCAUCAGUCACAAUGUGAUAUUGUUAAUACUGAAAUCCCUUUACAAUAGUUCUUUUUUUGCAGUGGAUGAUUAUUUUCCUGCAAAGAAAACUAUUAAAUCAAGGAUGCAUUUGAAAGUUUUGUACAGGCACAUCAUUUUUCAUUGCCAAUGUCACCCCCUUAGAAUAAUAGUUCUGAAGUAUAUAGUAGUUCUGGUAAUGCAGCAAACUAGGAAACAGUUUGCCUCUCCAAUUCAUUCUUUCAAUAAAAUGUUCUUGUCAAAUCCA